rnacentral:rRNA from 1 species
UACAGAGGUGGCAAGCGUUGUUCGGAAUUACUGGGCGUAAAGGGCGAGUAGGUGGCCAUCUAAGUCAGACGUGAAAUCCCCAGGCUUAACCUGGGAACUGCAUUCGAGACUGCAUGGCUAGAGUAUGGGAGAGGGAAGUGGAAUUUCAGGUGUAGCGGUGAAAUGCGUAGAUAUCUGAAGGAACAUCAGUGGCGAAAGCGACUUCCUGGACCAAUACUGACGCUCAUGUGCGAAAGCGUGGGGAGCAAACAGG